ensembl:lncRNA
CUCAGCGGCUUUUUGUCUUAAUGCUUUAUUUAUUUACAGAAUGCAGAGCGCAGGAGGACUCUGGACUGGAAAUCACUUCCGUCCCGUUGACUCGGCGGUGGGACGAUGAGGUCCGAGUCCCCCGCGCGCAGCUCGUUUUCGGUCCAGCGGUCGUCCCGGGCUUCCCUCUGCGCCUGUUUUACUGGCUUACUGUAGGUUCAAGGAGAAGUUUACCUCUCGACUGAACAGUUAUUCACGUCCACAGAGGAAAAGGAGCCACUCUGAACCUGCUCCGUUUAACGCGAGCACAGAAGGAACGAGGCGUCGGGCCACUGCACAUCUGAGCCGCUAUGAAAGGAAGCCGUCAUCAGAGGAGGAGGUGAGGCAGAGGGACGACGUCCCCCGCAGAGACCACUGGGAGGGGUGGUGAUGGGACGCAGGCAGGAGAGAGAAGGACAUGAAGGGCGAGAGGCGGAGGCCAGGAGGGAAACUCCCCCCCCUCCCCCCUUAUGAACAACGCUUUCCCUCUCUGAGCUCCACACGGGACGCACGCGCUCUGCUGCACGGCAGCCGCCACUCGUUUGAGAAUAAACCCAAGGAUUUACAGAGGGGGACAAUCUGGAGGUAUUUCCCUGGGAAGGACAUCUGGAG